UACGAAGGGGGCUAGCGUUGCUCGGAAUCACUGGGCGUAAAGCGCACGUAGGCGGAUCCUUAAGUCGGGGGUGAAAUCCUGGAGCUCAACUCCAGAACUGCCAUCGAUACUGAGGAUCUCGAGUCCGGGAGAGGUGAGUGGAACUGCGAGUGUAGAGGUGAAAUUCGUAGAUAUUCGCAAGAACACCAGUGGCGAAGGCGGCUCACUGGCCCGGUACUGACGCUGAGGUGCGAAAGCGUGGGGAGCAAACAGG
rnacentral:rRNA from 1 species